GCAGACGGGUGAGUAAUGCGUAGGAAUCUACCUAGUAGUAUGGAAUAGCCAUUAGAAAUGAUGGGUAAUACUGUAUAAUCCCUGCGGGGGAAAGAUUUAUCGCUAUUAGAUGAGCCUACGUUAGAUUAGCUAGUUGGUAAGGUAAUGGCUUACCAAGGCUAUGAUCUAUAGCUGGUCUGAGAGGACGAUCAGCCACACUGGAACUGAGAUACGGUCCAGACUCCUACGGGAGGCAGCAGUGGGGAAUAUUGGACAAUGGGCGAAAGCCUGAUCCAGCUAUGCCGCGUGAGUGAAGAAGGCCUUCGGGUUGUAAAGCUCUUUCAAUAGGGAAGAUA
rnacentral:rRNA from 1 species